GAUGAACGCUAGCGGGAGGCUUAACACAUGCAAGUCGAGGGGCAUCACGAGGUAGCAAUACUUUGGUGGCGACCGGCGCACGGGUGAGUAACACGUAUGCAACCUACCCCGUACAGGGGGAUAACCCGGAGAAAUUCGGACUAAUAUCCCAUACAAUUAUUGGAGGGCAUCCUUUGAUAAUUAAAGCUCAGGCGGUAUAGGAUGGGCAUGCGGAACAUUAGCUAGUUGGUAGGGUAACGGCCUACCAAGGCUACGAUGUUUAGGGGACCUGAGAGGGUUAUCCCCCACACUGGUACUGAGACACGGACCAGACUCCUACGGGAGGCAGCAGUGAGGAAUAUUGGUCAAUGGGCGCAAGCCUGAACCAGCCAUCCCGCGUGAAGGAAGAAGGCCCUAUGGGUUGUAAACUUCUUUUCCAGGGGGUGAAUAAUUCCGAUGUAUCGGGAGAUGACGGUACCCUGGGAAUAAGCAUCGGCUAACUCCGUG
rnacentral:rRNA from 1 species